AAAAAGAUAAGCUAAAAAAGCUUUUGGGUUCAUACCCCAUCUAUAAAGGUAAAAUCCUUUUCUUUUUA
rnacentral:tRNA from 1 species